rnacentral:lncRNA from 1 species
ACAAUGAUCCUUGAGGCAAUGAUAUGAUAUGAUAUGAUGCCAUGAGGGAUCUUAGGGACAAAAUUGGGAUCUUACAUUAAGCUAUCACUUGGUUGAUACUUAGGUAAUAUUCCUCUCUUGUUGGGGUUGGGGUUUUCCUCUCUUGAUGAUUUCUUUUCCCCGACGAGGUAUUACUUUGAUAAGCCUUCCUCGUUGGAUCUUUAGUUCGUUUAUUUUCUAACUGUGCGUUGGUUAUUCUCGAGUCUU